UUACCAUACAUCAGCUCCAAUAUUACAAGGCAGAGGCAGAACCAUUUCAUUGAGAGAAAUGUGUUUUCAUUUCAGGUGGUGAAAUCAACUCCAAUUACUCAUAUCUGGACUUAACUGCUUCCCAUUACUGAAGCCAACACUUGAAAGACGGUUAGGAUUCUCUAAUCAGGUGAGCAGCCCCAGCAGGAUCUGAGCACACAGGGCGUCCCUGCUGCUGUUCUGGAGUUUUGCCCGGGAAACACUUCUCAUCACUUCCCUUCUUGCUGAUGCCAACAACCUUCAGGACAACAAUCGGAGUGGAGAUACAUGCCAGACUUCAGUCCGCUUUCAGUUUUGCCUUUGCUGGGUUCAGCUAAGACUCAACUGGUCCAUCAGUUUUAUGGGGAUGAUCACACUAACAGUACUGGAAAAGACAUCUUCAUCAGGUAAGAGCGAUGGGUAACUUACUCACUAAUCACAGGAACUCCUUUGGCUUCCAUGUUUGAGCUAUGGAAAAAGUUCAAAGGCAUGCCAGGUCUUCUACAGCUCCAGCUGGUUACAUAUUAUGGCCCAUGCAUGUGCACAUAUUAAAUAGGUAGGCAAAUUAUAGCAAAAGAAAAUACGAAACUCAAAUGGUCGACUUGCAACUAUAGUGUUAAACUGUAGAGUCUUCUAAAGCUCCCUGUUUCUCUCUUUUAUUUUUCUGCCUGCUUCGAAUCUGCUGUUACUGGCUACCGGUAUUGAGAUAAAACUCACUGUUUUAUGAUACUACUAAUUCAAGACUACUUGGAGAUUCUGUUUCUCUUAUACAGUUCUCCCUAAAAUGUAAAGAUUGAGACUCAUUUGAAACUGAAGGGAACAAAAGGGUAAAACAGGUUUCUAAAAUCAACCUGUCAUGGAAAAGGUUUUGCCCAAAUUUUUGUCUCACAGCCUUCAUUUGAUUAUCUGUAAGGGCAAAUAAAGUUUAGCUGUGUGAACAGGUUCUAAUUCC
rnacentral:lncRNA from 10 species